rnacentral:rRNA from 1 species
UACGAAGGGGACUAGCGUUGUUCGGAAUCACUGGGCGUAAAGCGCACGUAGGCGGAUGUGUCAGUCAGGGGUGAAAUCCCGGGGCUCAACCUCGGAACUGCCUUUGAUACAGCACGUCUCGAGUCCGGAAGAGGUGGGUGGAAUUCCUAGUGUAGAGGUGAAAUUCGUAGAUAUUAGGAAGAACACCAGUGGCGAAGGCGGCUCACUGGCCCGGUACUGACGCUGAGGCGCGAAAGCGUGGGGAGCAAACAGG